UGGGGAAUAUUGGACAAUGGGGGCAACCCUGAUCCAGCAAUGCCGCGUGUGUGAAGAAGGUCUUCGGAUUGUAAAGCACUUUCGACGGGGACGAUGAUGACGGUACCCGUAGAAGAAGCCCCGGCUAACUUCGUGCCAGCAGCCGCGGUAAUACGAAGGGGGCUAGCGUUGCUCGGAAUGACUGGGCGUAAAGGGCGUGUAGGCGGUUUACACAGUCAGAUGUGAAAAUCCCCCGGGCUUAACCUGG
rnacentral:rRNA from 1 species